rnacentral:ncRNA from 1 species
AUAAACUUAACAUUGUUUUUAAUUAAGUUUAUACAUGCAAGCUUCAACCCACCAGUGAGAAUGCCCACAACCCCCAAACAGCAAAAUGGAGCAGGCAUCAGGAACAACACACUUAGCCCACAACGCCUUGCUACGCCACACCUACAAAGGCCUGCAGCAGUAAUUAACAUUAAACAAUAAGCGAAAGCUUGAUUUGGCUAUAAUUAAAAAUGUCGGUAAAUUUCGUGCCAGCCACCGCGGUUAUACGAAAGACUAAAAACAAUGGAACCGGCGUAAAGAGUGAAUAAAGAACCAUCUAAAAAUUAAAGGUUAAACCACAAUAAAGCCGUAAAACGCUGACAAUAGUGAGAAAAACAGAACCUUUAAGAUAUGACCACCUUUAACUUCACUAAAGCUAAGAAACAAACUAGGAUUAGAUACCCUACUAUGCUAAGCCAUAAACAUAGACAAUAUCUAUACACAAUUGUUCGCCAGAGAACUACAAGUGAAAAACUUAAAACUCAAAGGACUUGACGGUGUCCCACAUCACCCUAGAGGAGCCUGUCCUAUAAUCGAUACCCCACGUUAAACCUCACCACUCCUUGCCACUCAGCCUAUAUACCGCCGUCACAGAGCCAACCUCAUGAGAGAUCAACAGUCGGCAAAACGGUUAACAACAAAAAAGUCAGGUCAAGGUGUAGCCAAUGGAGUGGGCAGAGAUGGGCUACAUUUUCUCCAACAGACCAUACGAAUAACAUACUGAAACUUAUGCUUAAAGGAGGAUUUAGCAGUAAGACAAACAAGAACAUUUGUCUUAAACCAGCCCUGGGACGCGUACACACCGCCCGUCACCCUCAUCACACCAACAACAAACAAAACAUAUUACAACAUAAAAGAUUAGAUGAGACAAGUCGUAACACGGUAAG